rnacentral:rRNA from 1 species
GACGAACGCUGGCGGCGUGCUUAACACAUGCAAGUCGAACGGAAAGGCCUAGCUUGCUGGGUACUCGAGUGGCGAACGGGUGAGUAACACGUGGGUGAUCUGCCCCUGACUUUGGGAUAAGCCUGGGAAACUGGGUCUACUACCGGAUAUUCAUUUUUCCUCGCAUGGGGUUUUUUGGUAAGCUUUUGCGGUUGUGGAUGGGCCCGCGGCCUAUCAGCUUGUUGGUGGGGUAAUGGCCUACCAAGGCGACGACGGGUAGCCGACCUGAGAGGGUGAUCGGCCACACUGGGACUGAGACACGGCCCAGACUCCUACGGGAGGCAGCAGUGGGGAAUAUUGCACAAUGGGCGCAAGCCUGAUGCAGCGACGCCGCGUGAGGGAUGACGGCCUUCGGGUUGUAAACCUCUUUCAGCUCCGACGAAGCGCAAGUGACGGUAGGAGCAGAAGAAGCACCGGCCAACUACGUG